rnacentral:tRNA from 1 species
UAGCCCAGUUGUUAAGGCCCCCGGCUCUCAACCGGGAGGUCCCGGGUUCGAUUCCCGG